ensembl:lncRNA
GCCUGUGUCUCUCAGGCCAACUGUGCAGACUGCGUUUUCGAGUGAAUUCUCCUGUCGGGGCCCUAAACGACAUCAUGCUCACACAGUGAGACCUGGACAUCUGGACUUUUUUUCACUGAUUGUGUGUCUGACAUGGACACACACAGCUGGCUGGGUUGGCACACAGGUUGUGCAUCGUGAACAAAGCCUGGAGUCUGGGAAGGCACAGAUGAGGCCAGAAGACUGGACGUGGGACCUGGGCUUUAUCUAAGGAUUGGGGAGUUGGUUCCUGGGCCUGGGAUCGUGAACUUGCUUGACCCUGGCAGCAAGACGGAGAAGUUGUUCUUGAGAUGACUGGACUCAGACAGCUGUUUGCCUACAACAGAAGCCGUUCAGCUAUUGGCCUUCCUCUGCAUUAGGGAGAGUGCUGCUUUGCUCUGGUUGAAAUCCAUCAUUUGAUGGACAGACACGGUGUUUUCAUUCCCUGGCUGUUGGAAUAGGAUAGCAGUGAACAUGGAUGACCAGGCCUCUCUAUAACAGACUACAGAAUCAUGGAUGACCAGGCCUCUCUACAGCAGAAUACAGAAUCAUGGAUGACCAGGCCUCUCUACAGCAGAAUACAGAAUCAUGGAUGACCAGGCCUCUCUACAGCAGAAUACAGAAUCAUGGAUGACCAGGCCUCUCUACAGCAGAAUACAGAAUCAUGGAUGACCAGGCCUCUCUAUAACAGAAUACAGAAUCAUGGAUGACCAGGCCUCUCUAUAACAGAAUACAGAAUCAUGGAUGGCCAG